UGUCCUACGGGGCGCAGCAGUGGGGAAUAUUGGGCAAUGGGCGCAAGCCUGACCCAGCAACGCCGCGUGAAGGAAGAAGGCUUUCGGGUUGUAAACUUCUUUUAAGAGGGAAGAGCAGAAGACGGUACCUCUUGAAUAAGCCACGGCUAACUACGUGCCAGCAGCCGCGGUAAUACGUAGGUGGCAAGCGUUGUCCGGAUUUACUGGGUGUAAAGGGCGUGUAGCCGGGCUGACAAGUCAGAUGUGAAAUCCGGGGGCUCAACCCCUGAACUGCAUUUGAAACUGUUGGUCUUGAGUAUCGGAGG
rnacentral:rRNA from 1 species